CUUGCUACUUGCAGACAGGCAGGGAGCAGUCGGUGAGAGCCCGGUCGCCCUUUAAAGCAGCGAGGCGGUGGGCUGAGGUAGAGCUGUGCUGCCCUGGUCCCGAGCACCCGCUGCCCCAGGACGCAGAGCACCUGCUAGUGAGGAUUCUGGAGAACCCGUCCCACACUGGCGCUGCCCUGCCAUCUGCCAGGCCAGGAAGCUGACCUUGCACGUGGACCAGGGAUCCUACAGCCCGAGGGGUCUUCAGCAUGUCACUCCAGCACAGACAUCACUCCAUGGAAACAUGACCACAGAGGACAGGGGCUGCUCGAACGUGAAAGACCCCCAAGGUAAUUCUACAAUGGAGAAACUCCAGCUGGCAGAGCUCCCUCUCUGGGGCAUCACUGCUAUCUCUCAGAGGCUGGGGUCCCAGGGAUCCUG
rnacentral:lncRNA from 1 species